rnacentral:lncRNA from 1 species
UACGAGGGGCUUGAGCCAAAUGUGGAAUCUUACAAGAAGAUUGUGGUGGCUAUUCAAGAAUAAAAUGAUUCAAGAGUAUCAUAAGGAUUUUCAAGUUAGUGAGGGAUUGAAGGUUUGGCGAUCUCUAAGUUCCUUUUAAUAGGAUGGUGAAGGAAGGUUUUUGAGCAGCUAUAUGUUCUUUGGUGAAUUGGUGAAGAGAAGGGCU